CCGAACGAAGAAGUCGAACUCGACGCUGCGUCUCUUUGCGUGUUGGUUUUCCCAAUACAAAUCUCUCAGUUCGUGUCCGCGCUUUAGAAAACUGAAAACCCAAAGAAGCAGCAAUAUCACUCGCAGCAGCAGCGGCAGCAGCAAUAAAAUCAAAACACGUUUUACUCCCGCACAUUGAAAACGCAUUUCCCAACAAGGAUUUAAUUUCCAAUCAAAAAACCAUUUAAAUUGGUUUAUAAUUUCCGAAAAUAUUUGUGCUUGUGUUUUUUGAAUGAAAGUGUGUAACCAAAAAUAUGGAAAUUUCGCUCAUAAAUAUUGAUGUGUAUUAUUGAAUAUUUGUGUCUUUUACUUUGAAGCCGGUUUCGUUUCUGUGUCGAUAUUUUGCAUUAUUAAUUACAAUUUACGUUCAUCAAGUGGAAACAGUCAAACAAAUUGAGAGACAAUUCAGAGACAAAACAUGGAAAACUAUGUGUGAACGAUAAAAGGCUACUGAACUGGUUUUAACGCAUCUCGACGUGUUUGUUUGGUGGUAAUGUGAUCGGCGAUCUUCGGGAGCAAUUAGAAGACUAAACAAAAGGCACUGAAGGAGGACCAGGUCUGGCAGGGAUUGCUGUGGACUCCGUCGUCGUCGUUGUCGUUGUCGUCUCCCAUCGAUACUCCACCGAAACUCCUCCUCAUGUUGUCAGCUGCAGUUGGCUUCCUACGCCUCAUGUGUGUGCAUCCCAACUCCGCUCCCCGCCUCCGCCGAAUAUUUUAUGAUUUUUGAUUUAGUUUGAGAGUUGAUUGGUUUUUAGAGACGUCAAAAACGUUGACAUCGCUGACAUGGCGCGGGCGUUACUGCUCGAUUGCCAUGUCUUUAUUACAAUCAGCCGUCGGUUGGCUAAGGAGUUUCUCGAUUUAUAUGCUAAAGAGCUGAGUUGUGGGGAAUCGAAUUGACAGGCCCAGUGAACUUGACUCAAUCCGCGCUGACCCACUAAUACCGAAAAAAAAAAAUAAUAAUCACAGGGCCUAAUUCAAUUGCGGUUCAUUAAUCAAGCGGUGGGUAUAAUUAGGCCAGAGCUUAGCUAAGCGAAAU